rnacentral:sRNA from 1 species
AACUGAUGUACUUGCCGGGGGUGAC